AGUGAACGCUGGCGGUGGGCCUAACACAUGCAAGUCGAACGGAAGCACAGUAAGAGCUUGCCCUUACGGGUGGCGAGGGGCGGACGGGUGAGGAAUACAUCGGAAUCUACUAUUACGGGGGGGAUAACGGGGGGAAACUGACGCUAACACCGCAUAUGACGUACGGGUGAAAGCAGGGGAGCUACGGACCUUUGGUGUCUGUAUGAGACGAUGUCGGAUUAGCUAGUUGGCGGGGUAACGGCCCACCAAGGCAACGAUCCGUAGCUGAGCUGAGAGGAUGAUCGGCCACACUGGAACUGAGACACGGUCCAGACUCCUACGGGAGGCAGCAGUAGGGAAUCUUCCACAAUGGGCGCAAGCCUGACCCAGCCACACCGCGUGAGUGAUGAAGGCCUUCGGGUCGUAAAGCCCUUUUGUUGGGAAAGAACAGCAGCGUAUUAAUCCCCCGCUGUUCUGACGGUACCUAAUCAGUAAGCACCGGCUAACUUCGUG
rnacentral:rRNA from 1 species